UUGUUUUAGGGCAAAAUUUUGCCCCAAUUCAAAACGCAUGAACCCAUCUCCUUGCCCACGCCGCCGACACCUUGCUCCCUCCCCGGUCGCCGUCGCCCGUCUUUCUCUUGCUCUCUCACGCCGCCACCUAUGGUCGAGCGCGCCACACUUCCCGAUCGAGAUCGGCGCUGGCAGACAUCCUCCCUCCCCGGUCCCUCCCCGAUCGCCGUCCUCCCUCCCCGAUCCCCGUCUCUCUCUCGCUCUCUCAUGCCGUCGCCGCCGGUCGAGCCCGCCACCCUCCCCGUUCGAGCCCGCCACCGCCGUCGCCCUCCCUCCGCCACCGCCGGCAUCCUGCCUCCCCGGUUUCUCCCUCUCCCUUCCUCACUUUCUCUC
rnacentral:lncRNA from 1 species